rnacentral:lncRNA from 1 species
CGACUUCGCUCCCAGGACUGCAGACCGUCCGGAGGAGGAUGACGACCCAGACGACCCGUGGAUAGACGUCAGCUUUCGUCUAGCGGGGCAGUGGCAUUUGAUGUCACUUAGACGGUUUGCCGAGCACUGCGGACUUUACAGGGUGGAGGAGUUAGACACCCCCAUCUACACCGACGACAUAUGGAUGGCCCCCCGUACGACUCUGAUGAGGUUCUGGCAGGUGAUCAGCACGCAUCGCUUUGGCACGGCGUCGAAGCAGAGGGCUUCCUUUAUCACCGAUCCCCUCUACCGCUACCUACACAAGCUUAUUGCCACAUCUAUAGCACCACGCCAGAAGAGUCGUGAGUAGUGCAAUCUGGGGGAUCUCUUUUACCUGUACUGCCUUAUAUGGGGGGAGAGGUGCGCCAUCCAUCGCUGCCUAGCAUAGUGGUUCGCGACGGCGUUCCACAGGCAGGACAGGUCUGUGCUGUAUGGGGGGCGUACAUCACACGUAUCGCCGUCUCCUUGGGCCUUGUUCCCCAGCAGGACCAAUUAUUCUCGCAUGGGGCAUGGUGGAGCCGAGCUUUUUGACUCGUGCUACCCUGAUCGGCAUGCACGUGACGCGUGACUUCCCUGGGCUCGGUCUGCGACUUAUCGGAGGGGACGGCAGGUGUUCGCCCCCGCCGCUCUCCCAGAUGAGCUACCAGAAUUGCUUCCAGAGCCGGCACAGGGUGAGGGUCAGUCGGCAGAUGGUGCUGCCGCAGAGGGCGACGACAACGACUCCGAUGACGACGAUGGUGACCACGUUAAGCGACCACAACCUUCGCCGCCGCCUCCAUUUCCGUUAGGUGCUUCGGCACAGCAGCCGCAACCACAUGGGGUGCCUCAGUACCCGCAACACGUAUUCAACGACGGGCUCGAUCCAGCUGCGGCACGUGCGUUACAUGAGUUGGAGGACCGGAUGCAGGCGCGGAUGGACGCCGCUCACGGCAUUAUGGAGCGUCUUCUCAUGGAGGCGAUCCAGGCAUUCCGGCGUGGUGAGCAGUCUGGUUCUGAUCAGGGGGCGGGGAUCUCAGGCACUGCGGGGGCGGGGCCCUCAGGCACCACUCAGGAUCC